rnacentral:rRNA from 1 species
CAGCCGCCGCGGUAAUACCGGCGGCCCGAGUGGCGGUCACUAUUAUUGGGCUUAAAGCGUCCGUAGCCGGGUUGGGAAGUCCUCCGGGAAAUCUGGCCGCUUUACGGUCAGAAUGCCGGAGGAUACUCCCAGCCUAGGGAGCGGGAGAGGCCGAGGGGAUUCCCGGGGUAGGGGUGGAAUCCUAUAAUCCCGGGAGGACCACCUGUGGCGAAGGCGCUCGGCUGGAACGCGUCCGACGGUGAGGGACGAAGGCCAGGGGAGCAAACCGGAUUAGAUACCCGGGUAGUCCUGGCUGUAAACGAUGCGGACUUUGUGUCGGACAAGCUAUGAGCUUGUCCGGUGCCGGAGGGAAACCGUUAAGUCCGCCGCCUGGGGAGUACGGCCGCAAGGCUGAAACUUAAAGGAAUUGGCGGG